UACGUAGGGGGCUAGCGUUGUCCGGAAUCAUUGGGCGUAAAGGGCGCGUAGGCGGCGCGACAAGUCAGUGGUGAAAGCCCGAGGCUCAACUUCGGGUCGGCCACUGAUACUGUCGGGCUCGAGCACUGUAGAGGCAGGUGGAAUUCCGGGUGUAGUGGUGAAAUGCGUAGAGAUCCGGAGGAACCCCAGAGGCGAAGGCGGCGCCCUAGCUCGGUUCUGACGCUCAGACACGAAAGCAUGGGGAGCGAACGGG
rnacentral:rRNA from 1 species